rnacentral:rRNA from 1 species
AUGGCGCGUGGUGAGGGGUCUAUUCCUUCCAAUGAACUAUCGAUUUGUCAGUUAGCUGAGCGACAUCUAUAUGAGCCUAAUACUAGUGAAGAGGUCAACCUAGUGAUCAGACGGCAGGUGCUCGCACAUGCGGAUUUGACGCGCCAUCCUCGUGGUUGGAAUGUGGGGUCUACCGUUAGUGACUAUUCUUUUCAUCCACUAGCACCUUAUCCUAAACCUAAUCAUGAAGCCUACACCCUAGGGACCAGGAUGGUAGCAAAAGGUCUAGGUUGGGAUGGUCACACAGCCGAGUAUGUUCCGCAAUCCAAAGGCUAUGUUGAGUGGGGCAUAUCUAUAUUGAAUAACCACUCGUUUUGUUUGAAAGGCGAAGCGGAGAACACCGAUUAUAUAUAUGGGGCCAUUUAUUGCUCCCUCGGUGAAUAUGAAGUUUCAGAUUCGUUACUGAGGUCAUUACUGGAAAGAUGGGAUCUAGAAACAAAUACUUUUCUUUUUUCAUCUGGUGAACGCACCGUGAUUCUGCUUGACAUGCUUCUAAUGUCGGGUCUUCCUUCAGUUGGAGAUCCAUACGAGGAAUAUGUUCCUUCUAUAGAUGACCUAGAACCUUCAAAGCUUAUGUUCCCAAAUUUCUUAUCUGGUCUUUUAGAAGAAUUCUACCGGCUCAGCCGCGAAAAUGGGAGUGUGACUUUUCAAGUUUGGUGUGACCAUUUCCAUAACAAACGCGAACGCACUUCGUCUUUCACCUCCCUUCGGGAACAACACAUGUAUAUUGCGGCUUUUAUAGCCCACUGGCUUUGCUCUUACGUGGUUGUUGGUGGGGGGCCUUAUAUUCGUCCCGGUGUCCUUCUUAUGGCCUCUUGGAUCGUCUCGGGUCGCAAGAUCUCUUUGGCCCCCUCAGCACUUUGUUCAUUGUAUUAUUCUCUUCGAAGGAUCAGUAUGCACCCCGUUGCUCCCUCCUAUGAGAAAAGAAUUUGGCCAGUGCAUUAUAUCGCGGGGUGGAUGGGUCUUUAUCUGAGAAAACCAUUUAAGGACAAAGUGAAAGGGAAACAUCUUCGAGAUGUUAAGCAACUGCCGAUGCAUCCAACCAUGGUUAAAACUAUGUUUCGGGUUCCCAUAACUUUCAGUCCUGCUAAGGCACGCAUUUUCCUUGAUGACCGAGCCAAUAUUUUUUGGAAUCCUUAUGCUCCAAAGAACUUAGUCGGGGUGGAUCAGUUGCAAAGGUCCUUCACCAUUUCUUCACAUCGGGGUAUGCUUCCAUGGAGGCGUGCUACUGAUGUUGAUGAUCUUUGCAUAGCGGAGCCAUAUCAUCCUGAUCGAGUUGCACGACAACUUACUUUGAGACAACAAGUGCCCUAUGCUCCGUUGGUCAGCGUGUACACAAAGGCGGAUAUUGGAGUUGCAUAUGCGUAUUGGUCGCAUUUGUUACGCUCGGACCAAGGGGAGUUCUAG